CCGUUAUUAACUGAGGGAUGGUUGAGGAUUGCUAAGAGAAGAGAUCUCCCUCGACUAAUUAAAGGAUUGAUCAUGUGUUUGUAAGUAAAGAAUAUGUGAGAUUCUACGUCGGUUGGGGAGGAGAACCGGAGCAUUCUUUAUAUAGGGAGAAUUUGAUCUGUUUUAGUUUUAAUAACUAAAUGACUGAAACACCCUUACACAUGAGAAAUUGAUUGGGGCUAUAUUCGUCUUCACGCACGAUCCGAAACCCUAGUAAUGCAAAUGCUAGGUAUUUUUUCCCUCCAUUUGCUUUGGUCGAUCCUGCAGUCCGGCGGCUUGUCUUCAAUUCUCACGUCCUCUUUCGUGUAAGGAAUGGAAUCGCAGAUCAAGCAUGCUGUGGUGGUCAAAGUGAUGGGUAGAACUGGAUCAAGAGGGCAGGUGACUCAAGUUAGAGUCAAGUUUCUUGAUGAUCAGAAUCGUUACAUUAUGAGGAAUGUCAAGGGACCAGUGAGGGAAGGAGACAUUCUUACCCUGUUGGAGUCAGAGAGGGAAGCUAGAAGAUUGCGUUGAUGGGGAUCAAGUUCCCAGUUCUCCGGUUUGCAGUUGCUAAAUGUUAUUUAUCAUAUCAUACCUACAAAUAGAAUGCUUUACAUCAUUUUUCCCUAUUGAAGUGUGAUUUUAGUGACUAGCUUCUCCAAGGCUUUGCUUCCAUGGCAGAAUAUGUGAACUGGAUGAGUAAUUUAAUUGAGUUUUGAAACGAUAAUUUUGUGUUUA